CCUACGGGAGGCAGCAGUGGGGAAUAUUGCACAAUGGGGGAAACUCUGAUGCAGCGACGCCGCGUGCGUGAAGAAGUAUCUCGGUACGUAAAGCUCUAUCUGCAGGGAAGAAAAUGCCGGUACCUGACUCUGAAGCCCCGGCUAACUACGUGCCAGCAGCCGAGGUAAUACGUAGGGGGCAAGCGUUAUCCGGAUUUACUGGGUGUAAAGGGAGCGUAGACGGGAGGAUAAGUGUGGAGUGAAAUCCCGGGGCUUAACCUCGGAACUGCUUUGGAAACUGUGCGGCUGGAGUGCAGGAGGGGUAAGCGGAAUGCAUGGUGUAGCGGUGAAAUGCGUAGAUAUUAGGAAGAACACCGAUGGCGAAGGCGGCUUACUGGGCUGUAACUGACGUUGAGGCGCGAAAGCGUGGGGAGCAAACAGGAUUAGAUACCCCUGUAGUC
rnacentral:rRNA from 1 species